rnacentral:rRNA from 1 species
GCCUACGGGGGGCAGCAGUGAGGAAUAUUGGUCAAUGGUCGGGAGACUGAACCAGCCAAGCCGCGUGAGGGAUGAAGGUACAGAGUAUCGUAAACCCCUUUUGUCAGGGAACAAAGGCGGGGACGUGUCCCCGGAUGAGUGUACCUGAAGAAAAAGCAUCGGCUAACUCCGUGCCAGCAGCCGCGGUAAUACGGAGGAUGCGAGCGUUAUCCGGAUUUAUUGGGUUUAAAGGGUGCGCAGGCGGUCUGUUAAGUCAGCGGUCAAAGCCCGGGGCUCAACCCCGGCCCGCCGUUGAAACUGGCAGG